CCUACGGGUGGCAGCAGUGAGGAAUAUUGGUCAAUGGGCGCGAGCCUGAACCAGCCAAGUCGCGUGAAGGAUGAAGGUCCUACGGGUUGUACACUUCUUUUAUAAGGGAAUCAAGUGAGGGACGUGUGCCUUUUUGUCUGUACUUUAUGAAUAAGGAUCGGCUAACUCCGUGCCAGCAGCCGCGGUAAUACGGAGGAUCCGAGCGUUAUCCGGUUUUAUUGGGUUUAAAGGGAGCGUAGGUGGUCUUUUAAGUCAGUGGUGAAAGUUUGUGGCUCAACCGUAAAAUUGCCGUUGAAACUGGGGGGAUUGAGUAUAUUUGAGGCAGGCGGAAUGCGUGGUGUAGCGGUGAAAUGCUUAGAUAUCACGCAGAACCCCGAUUGCGAAGGCAGCCUACCAAGCCAUCACUGACGUUGAUGCACGAAAGCGUGGGGAUCAAACAGGAUUAGAUACCCGGGUAGUC
rnacentral:rRNA from 1 species